rfam:Ciona savignyi cont_15115, whole genome shotgun sequence.
GGUAGCGUGGCCGAGCGGUCUAAGGCGCUUGUUUUAAGCACCAGUCAUUUCGAUGGCGUGGGUUCGAAUCCCACCGCUGCCA